rfam:Picea glauca, whole genome shotgun sequence.
ACAUGCUUACAACAUAGUGUUAAUGCACUAGAUCCCAUUAUAAUUCAGUAGUUAAGCACGCUCAGGCUAGAGUAGUACUAGGAUGGGUGAUCACCCAGGAAGUCCUAGUAUUUUACAUGCA